AAAUCUCCAUCCGUGUCCACUGAACCAGAAGAGGAAGAGUCAAAGGAAGAGGUCAACGCUGCAGGAAUUCAUGUAAUGACGGAGCCAGUCAGCCCCUUUCUGCUUCCAGAGGAAGAGGAAGAAGAUGAUGACGAAGACGAUGAAUAUGAGAGUCGCUCAUGGAGGCGAUGAGGAAUGGGGAACGGCACCACUUUUUGUUCAGGAGCUCUCGUUUUUAGUUUCUGUUUGUGAAUUCUAAUUUAAGUAUAUUUGAUUGAAUAAGACAAAGAGUCUUUUUUUAAGACGGUUUUUCAGUGUUUUGAGAAGUGGAAAAAAUGAAACGGCUAAUGGCAUUCUCCAUACGGGAGACGUCUGUGGGGACUUGCAGUGUUUCUGUCACUCUGAAAUCUCUGCAUUAUAUAUCAAACUCUCACUUUUGCUGAGAGUGAACGCAAAAUGUCUCAACUAGGAAACAUUUUGUUUCACUGUGCAUGACCAGAUAUCAGUAACUCACAACAUUUGUGACUACUGUGAAUUUUUUUUGUUUUUGUUUUUUUUACCUAAAUUUUUUUGCCCAUUUUCCCAGUUCAGGGUAUAAUUUAACAUGAAACUUCAUCUGCACUUUGUGCCACUUUGGCCUGUGGUAGAUAUUUUCCCAGUGGACACACUCAUUUGGCAUCAUUCCCAUUAAAGUCAUUUCUUUCCGUUGUUAAAAAACAAUACGCCCUAAUGAUGUAAAACUCUCUCAGAACACUUUUGUAUCUGCUCUCUAAAGUUCAGCCAAUAUAUAUCCCCAUUAUUUUUCCUUCUUCUCAAGAUUAAUGUGCCACUUCCUGUAAAUAUAGACUCUAUAUGUGGCAUACUUUAUUUUGGUCAGUGUGUCCAACUGUUCAUAUUUAUUUCUCACAUCUAUGUGAUGUUCCAAAACCCAAAAAGAAUUUUGGAUGAGGGUCAGAGAAAAUUGUUAAUUGAGGUAACAUAUGAACAGAGGUGUUGUGAAUGUAUUCAGAAUUGAUUUACACUUCAUUUACGCCUUAUAUCGUCAGUGUGCAGCUGACGUUUUAUGAGUUUUUUUGUGUAUAUUUUGUAAAUGGUUGCAGUAGUAAUGACUGUUCUCCUCAUUAUUUUAGCCGUUAGAAUGAAUGAAUCACUGAUCGAAUCACAUUCAUGACUCUUAGAGGCUUACUUAAGUGACCAUGUGACUUAAACUAAACAUCAUGCGUUUUUUUUUUUUUUUUUAAUGCAAUCUUUUAUGAUUACACCAUACUUUGAAGAUAUUUUUUUUUUUUUUUUGUCAUAUUUGAUUCUCCACUCGUUUCAAAAGCCUGGUCCUCCAGAAAUAGGUAUAAAAAAAGUACCGUUUCUGUAACCUUAAAUAUUAUCCAAUAGCAUGCUGGCAUCUGUAUGCGUGUGUUCAUUUGGAAAAAAAGAAAAUAUAUGUAUGAAUGCAUAUAUAUUUUUUUAAUAAUCAUAUUUACAUACUUUGCUAAAACAAUUAAGAUAUAAGUUUAUACUUCCUUUUAAUGAAGGACCAGUGUAAAACUUUGAGACUUUAUAUAUACUGUUGAUGUGACAUUUAAUAGCACGUUAAUAUGCCGUUUGAAUCCAAACAUUCAGUGAUAUACCUGUUUGUCCCACUCUUUCCGAUUGAUUGUACAAUAUGUUCUCAAUAUCCACAAUGGUUCAGUUUCUCAGUAACUCAUAUAAGGUCUGGCAGGUCUUAAUGUUGGUUUUGUACAUGAGUCUAAUAGGAGGACUCGGGGACUGUGUGUGAAUUUAAAGAAUGGAUUUUGAUCAUUUGUACAAUAGUUUUACUACACCACAUUAGUACAAUGUCAUACAUUUAGCAUAAAUAGAUUUUGACUUUAUUACUGUUUGUAAAUUGAAAAAUCUAUGGAUGUAUUUUUCAGUUCUUUGUUUGUAAAAUGGAUUUCUAACAGCUGCAUGUUUGCUAAUCAAUAAAGAUAUUGGAAUGGGGGUGAGCAAGAGGAAUAUAAAGAAAAAAGAUUAAGUUCCAAUUGGCCUAAAAUAAAAUGAUUUGCAACAAACAAAAAAGAAAAGAAAAAGAGAAACCUCAGCUAAAAGAGAAAAAGACAGAAAAAAAUGAGAAAAAUUCCAUGAUCCAUUCCAAUAAUUAUUCCCCUCUGAAAAA